rnacentral:rRNA from 1 species
GGGGGGGGGGGGGGGGGGGGGGGGGGGGGGGGGGGGGGGCGGGGGGGGGGGGGGGGGGGGGCUGGGGGGGGGGCGGCGGACGGGUGGGGAGCACGUGGGGGGCCGACCGAUAGGACUGGGAUAACUUCGGGGAACCGGGGCGAAUACCGGAUAGUAUAUUGAACCGCAUGGUUCAAUAGUGGAAGACGGUUUUGCUGUCACUUAUAGAUGGAUCCGCGCCGCAUUAGCUAGUUGGUAAGGUAACGGCUUACCAAGGCAACGAUGCGUAGCCGACCUGAGAGGGUGAUCGGCCACACUGGAACUGAGACACGGUCCAGACUCCUACGGGAGGCAGCAGUAGGGAAUCUUCCGCAAUGGGCGAAAGCCUGACGGAGCAACGCCGCGUGAGUGAUGAAGGUCUUCGGAUCGUAAAACUCUGUUAUUAGGGAAGAACAAAUGUGUAAGUAACUAUGCACGUCUUGACGGUACCUAAUCAGAAAGCCACGGCUAACUACGUG